UCGAUUUGGAGUUUGUUGCCUAGAGUGAUGGGCUCCGAAGCUAACGCGAUAAAUCGACCGCCUGGGGAGUACGGCCGCAAGGUUAAAACUCAAAUGAAUUGACGGGGGCCCGCACAAGCGGUGGAGCAUGUGGUUUAAUUCGAUGCAACGCGAAGAACCUUACCUGGUCUUGACAUCCACAGAAUCUUUCAGAGAUGAGAGAGUGCCUUCGGGAACUGUGAGACAGGUGCUGCAUGGCUGUCGUCAGCUCGUGUUGUGAAAUGUUGGGUUAAGUCCCGCAACGAGCGCAACCCUUAUCCUUUGUUGCCAGCGAUUAGGUCGGGAACUCAAAGGAGACUGCCGUUGGUAAAACGGAGGAAGGUGGGGACGACGUCAAGUCAUCAUGGCCCUUACGACCAGGGCUACACACGUGCUACAAUGGCGUAUACAAAGGGAAGCGAAGGUGCGAGCUGGAGCGGACCUCCUAAAGUACGUCUAAGUCCGGAUUGGAGUCUGCAACUCGACUCCAUGAAGUCGGAAUCGCUAGUAAUCGUGAAUCAGAAUGUCACGGUGAAUACGUUCCCGGGCCU
rnacentral:rRNA from 1 species